UGGGGAAUUUUGGACAAUGGGGGCAACCCUGAUCCAGCAAUGCCGCGUGUGCGAAGAAGGCCUUCGGGUUGUAAAGCACUUUUGUCUAGGAAGAAAGGGCUUUGGUGAAUAACUAGAGUAGAUGACGGUACUGGACGAAUAAGCACCGGCUAACUACGUGCCAGCAGCCGCGGUAAUACGUAGGGUGCGAGCGUUAAUCGGAAUGACUGGGCGUAAAGGGUAUGUAGGCGGUUGAUUAAGAUUUGUGUGAAAUGCCUGGGCUUAACCUGGGAAUGGCAUAGGUGACUGAUUAACUAGAGUAUGAGAGAGGGGGGUGGAAUUCCACGUGUAGCAGUGAAAUGCGUAGAGAUGUGGAGGAACACCAAUGGCGAAGGCAGCCCCCUGGAGCGAUACUGACGCUGAGGUACGAAAGCGUGGGGAGCAAACAGGAUUAGAUACCCCUGUAGUCC
rnacentral:rRNA from 1 species